UACGUAGGGUGCGAGCGUUAAUCGGAAUUACUUGGCGUAAAGCGUGCGCAGGCGGCUUUGCAAGACAGAUGUGAAAUCCCCGGGCUCAACCUGGGAACUGCAUUUGUGACUGCAAGGCUAGAGUACGGCAGAGGGGGAUGGAAUUCCGCGUGUAGCAGUGAAAUGCGUAGAUAUGCGGAGGAACACCAAUGGCGAAGGCAAUCCCCUGGGCCUGUACUGACGCUCAUGCACGAAAGCGUGGGGAGCAAACAGG
rnacentral:rRNA from 1 species